UCAGUUAUCAUUGUAUUGACUCUACUCGAUUAAUGACGAAAUCAGUUAUUCUACCUUAGUUUUUAGAGAUCGGAACUUUAGUGAGCUUCGAACCCUCAUCGUAAAAACCUACCUCAAUAAAAAAAAAACAGGUAUGAAUUUUAGAAAUGUGUCGUGCAAAGACGGUUUAGAAACCUUUUAAAUAAUGGCAAGUCUAAGAGACGUUCGUGUCAUUCAAUGGACGACAGCAGAAGCUUAAUUGAAUUUUGUAGCGAAGUUCUUUAUGUUUAGUUCUAUUUUAGACGAAAUUGGAUGUGAACGCCUUUUAUAUUGGCAAAGUGAUGCAUAGUACGGGCUUGGGAAGGAUAUUAGCGUUCUACGUGAAUAAUACGUUUCUGUGCUUGCAUUAUGUAGCUUUCCACAUUAGAGGGCCAUAUUGUCAGGGAUCAAGUCGCUUUAAUUAUGGAUAGUGGUAAAUAUGCAAUAUCUGGAAAAAGCGCCAACGUGCAGAAUUUGCAAUAAAGGAAAAUUGUGAAAGUAACUGCUUCAAUGAAAACUGAAUGAAACUUUUUAUUUCUCAAAUGCGAUUUUUCAUGUAUUUUAAAUGUACUCAAUUUGCGUUUAUGGAGGCGAAUGGCGUGAGAAGAGAGUGAUGUUUUAAUAAUAAAUAUAUAUCUCGCA